GAUGAACGCUAGCGGCAGGCCUAAUACAUGCAAGUCGAACGGUGUCUUCGGACAUAGUGGCGCACGGGUGCGUAACACGUAUGCAACCUACCUUACAUUGGGGGGAUAGCCUUUCGAAAGGGAGAUUAAUACCGCAUAAGACAGUAGCUGGGCAUCCAGCAGCUGUUAAAGAUUUAUCGAUGUAAGUUGGGCAUGCGUCCAAUUAGCUAGUUGGUGAGGUAACGGCUCACCAAGGCAAUGAUUGGUAGGGGAACUGAGAGGUCAAUCCCCCACACGGGCACGGAGACACGGGCCAGACUCCUACGGGAGGCAGCAGUAGGGAAUAUGGGGCAAUGGACGAAAGUCUGACCCAGCCAUGUCGCGUGCAGGAUGAAGGCGUUAUGCGUUGUAAACUGCUUUUAUACAGGAAGAAACGACUCUUGCGAGAGGCAUUGACGGUACUGUAUGAAUAAGCACCGGCUAACUCCGUGCCAGCAGCCGCCGUAAGAC
rnacentral:rRNA from 1 species